rnacentral:lncRNA from 10 species
AGUGCAGCUGAAUGGACUCUCUAGGACGAUCGCAUAGUACUGAUUGCAGUAGGAGUCGGUGGGCCUCGAGUAGGUGGGCCUCCGUAGGGAGCCAGCGUGGAUCGAGUGCGGGGCCUGGACUUCCCGCCCCCUCCGCACUGCAGACUCUGCGGUGAUUUAAAGGUGCCUGGCGGUGGUACGGGAUCCAACUGUAAAAUGUCAUCCCAGCUAGUGUGACAUCACCACAGUUUAGUGUGACACCCCCAGAGCUUGGGCAGUGUACGGGACGACAGUGCCUAGCAGAGGAGCUUCACUGCCGAAACUUCCUUCUACUACUUAAAGUCCUCACAUUGGGCUGACCUGGGAAACAUGAAGAUAAAAAGAGUGGGUAAACAUGCCUGCUUGAUGAGCCAGAAAAAAAGGCAGAAACCUGUGGUCUGGGUAGAACAGAUCCUGCUCAGAAUGUAUAAACCAGGAAAAGUUGUUCUGGCCCCUCAUCUGGUUUCAUGAAGGACAAUAUCUAGCAUGAGAGUGACAGGGGUUAGAAUAAUGGACAUUUUGGGGACUGGGUCCUAGCAGAAAUGAUGGAAUAAUGGAACAGGAGUUUGGAUGAAUGGGCAUAUUAUGGGAUUAAAGAAGAUUUGAAUACAAGCUUUCCUAAUAAAUGAAAGGGGAGGUGAAACUAGAGCAUGCUGAUGGCUGCACAGCAUUGUGAAUGCACUAAAUGCACUAACUGUCCACUUUAAAAUGUUUAGUAAUAUGUCGAUUUUACCUAAAUAAAAAAAAGGAAGCAACAU